rnacentral:tRNA from 3 species
GGAGGGGUGGCAGAGCGGCUGAAUGCACCGGUCUUGAAAACCGGCGAUGGGCGACUAUCCGUGGGUUCAAAUCCCACCUCCUCCGCCA